GCUUUGCACCUUUUCUGCCAACGGAAGCAGCACAGCUGCUUACUUUACAGCGAAGCCGCUUUCUAGUGGAAUAUUUAUGUUGUAGUUUAUAAGUAAGGGCCAAGCGCCAUUACUUACGUUGUGUUCCAUCCCCUUUAGUUCUUCCCCUAAAGGGGAUGAAGAACGAAGGGGACAGAACGUUGGCUCCGCCAAUCCCUGAGGGGGAGGUAAAUACGUUGUAGUUUAUCUACAAAACCAAGGUUAGGGCGCAGGCUACGUCAAGCGACUGGGUUUUCACGCGAGUUUAGUUACUACAACAUCGUCUAAAUAUGUACUUAUGUUAAAUAUGUACUGAUGUUGUGCACCCCCCCCCUUAAGCCACAACGUCUUAAGCCAUCGGCCUGCGUAUGUACAGCAUGUUUAGUGUCAUCACGCGUGUGCUUUUGUAGUUUGUUGGUAUUUCGUUAAACUAUAUAACUAGUAGCUCUAACGUAGUUAAGGUUUGUUGGUAAACCAGAGGCAAAGCUCCGUAAGUAAUGCGUCACGCCUUUCCCCGAAGGGGUUCCCCUUUGGGGAAGACGCACGCCCAAAGGUUUUUGUGCUUGGCCACGAGUGUCUUCGUCGUCUAAACCAUAACCACGUUAAGCUACUAGUUUAAUGUAAUUUAACUCCAUUAAACUAUACGGAGGCCAACGGNCUAGAAUCUGUAGGACAAACUACGUUUCUAAUUUUUUGAUAAAUACUUAUAAGUUUAUAUGUAUUUUAAGUUUAUAUGUNNN
rnacentral:lncRNA from 1 species